AAAUUCUCAAAGUAAACCUUUUGUUAAUUCAAUUGGUUCUGCUUUGGACUUGGAGGUCUUUUGCGGAUUAACAUCUGCUCCUCUUAAAUUUAUUAGCUGGAUCUCAGUAUAUGCUUGGUUCCACUCGGCGUGAUAAGUUAUCACUCGCUGAGGACACUGUAAAAGGUGGCCAGGAAAUACAGAUGAACCGCUUCUAAUAGUCUAUUAAAUUAGACAAUUAAUUUUAAG
rnacentral:misc_RNA from 1 species